rnacentral:rRNA from 1 species
AACGAACGCUGGCGGCAGGCUUAACACAUGCAAGUCGAACGCAUCCUUCGGGGUGAGUGGCAGACGGGUGAGUAACGCGUGGGAACGUGCCCUUCAGUUCGGGAUAACCCAGGGAAACUUGGGCUAAUACCGGAUACGUGCGAGAGCAGAAAGAUUUAUCGCUGAAGGAUCGGCCCGCGUCUGAUUAGCUAGUUGGUGGGGUAAUGGCCCACCAAGGCGACGAUCAGUAGCUGGUCUGAGAGGAUGGUCAACCACUAUGGGACUGAGACACGGCCCAAACUCCUACGGGAGGCAGCAGUGGGGAAUAUUGGACAAUGGGCGCAAGCCUGAUCCAGCCAUGCCGCGUGAGUGAUGAAGGCCUUAGGGUUGUAAAGCUCUUUCGUCCGGGACGAUAAUGACGGUACCGGAAGAAGAAGCCCCGGCUAACUUCGUGCCAGCAGCCGCCGUAA